UAGCCCUAGAGGCCCACAAGCUCAAGAACAUCGAGCUCCCCGGCGCGCCCAGUCGCCAGCCGUGAUACCUGUGGUGCCCCCCAGACGUCAUGCUGCUGAAGCGGGUGCUGCUGCUCCUGCUGCCG